rnacentral:rRNA from 1 species
AGAGUUUGAUCAUGGCUCAGAUUGAACGCUGGCGGCAUGCCUUACACAUGCAAGUCGAACGGUAACGGGCCUUCGGGUGCCGACGAGUGGCGAACGGGUGAGUAAUGCAUCGGAACGUACCUUUCAGUGGGGGAUAACGUAGCGAAAGUUACGCUAAUACCGCAUAUUCUGUGAGCAGGAAAGCAGGGGAUCGCGAGACCUUGCGCUGAUUGAGCGGCCGAUGUCAGAUUAGCUAGUUGGUGAGGUAAAGGCUCACCAAGGCGACGAUCUGUAGCGGGUCUGAGAGGACGAUCCGCCACACUGGAACUGAGACACGGUCCAGACUCCUACGGGAGGCAGCAGUGGGGAAUUUUGGACAAUGGGGCAACCCUGAUCCAGCCAUGCCGCGUGAGUGAAGAAGGCCUUCGGGUUGUAAAGCUCUUUCGGCCGGGAAGAAAUCGCAUGGGUUAAUACCCUGUGCGGAUGACGGUACCGGCAUAAGAAGCACCGGCUAACUACGUG